rnacentral:rRNA from 1 species
AGAGUUUGAUCCUGGCUCAGGAUGAACGCUAGCUACAGGCUUAACACAUGCAAGUCGAGGGGAAACGACAUCGAAAGCUUGCUUUUGAUGGGCGUCGACCGGCGCACGGGUGAGUAACGCGUAUCCAACCUGCCCACCACUUGGGGAUAACCUUGCGAAAGUAAGACUAAUACCCAAUGACGUCUCUAGAAGACAUCUGAAAGAGAUUAAGAUUUAUCGGUGAUGGAUGGGGAUGCGUCUGAUUAGCUUGUUGGGCGGGGUAACGGCCACCAAGGCGACGAUCAGUAGGGGUUCUGAGAGGAAGGUCCCCCANAUUGGAACUGAGACACGGUCCAAACUCCUACGGGAGCCA